GUGUUCCAGGCGUGCUCUUCCCGUCAGACCACCUGACAGGAAGAUGGCCCCUGGCUCCAUUCAUUCCUGGAAUGCAGAUGCUGCAGAAGUUGUGUGCAAAGCCUGGGAGCAGGGGAGGAGGGCCUGCUUGAGAACUAGCUGGCCGUCAUGGUCCAGGUGCCAGAGUUUGCAGCCUGUUGGGGAAAACCAACAUCAAGGACCAGUGCUUUGAAUGGACUACAGCCCAAUGGGUCUGUCCCAGUGCUGCUCCUUUACUGAGACAGCACUGCGGAGUGCCACCCUGCUUGCUAUGCACAGCUGCUCUGUGGAUUGAAGAUGAAGAUUCGGUGGAGUGAAGGACUGGAGGACUCCUGUGACAUUUUACUGCAGGCAGGGAAGGUGAGUAGUGUGGGAAAAAGGAAUGGCAGAAACCACGGCCAAGAUCUGUCUGGACUUCAGGGGACUCGUGCACAUGAGCUUGGCAUUCUCUCAGGGUAUAGAUCUUGUUUUAUUUUUCCUCAUUUCCCAGAUCUGAUGCAGGCUUUGCCUGACAGUUAACAAACGGUGUCAAGUGGGUGUGCAGUGUGUGCUGUAGGAAAUAAGGGCUCACUAGGACCCUGCUGGACAGGCCUCCCACCGGCUCCCACUUCUCUGGAGGGCCUAGCAGACAGCCACCAGCAGGAGCAGCCUCUCAGGACGCCCAGAGCUGCUGCCUGCCAGCCCUUCGCACACGAGCCCUGCUGACAGGGCUCAGACAGGGUUCCUUUCUCCUCUCCAAGCUGAACGUGGCCAGUCCACAGUUCCUUAACAUACUGACUGUCCCUCCAGUCUGGAGAGGCACAGAAGGAUCCAGGUGUCGUCUGGACAGGCAGAGCAUGGAUGAGGAUUGAAGAUUUAGGUCUGCAUGCUUCCUUCGGCCGUCAGUGUGGCUUCCAGUGCUGCAGGAAGGCUCAGGGUUGCUGCCCGUUGUCUUUCUUGCUUUGGUGUUCUCGUGGCCUUUAUGUAGGUAUAUUGUGCUAUAAAACCUCAUGUUGUAGGGCUGGGGACUUAGCUCAGUGGUUCUGCCUCUUACCUUGUAAGUGCAAGGUCCUGAGUUCAAUCCCCAAUACCAAAACACCCCCCAAAAACCAAACCUCAUGUUGUAGUUCUUGUGAGCAGAGUAGUUUUCCCUCCACAAUCCUGGAAACUCCCCGAAGGCAGCUGGCUGGUGGUGGGCACUCCAUUAAAUGUUAGCUAGUACUAUUUGCUUUGUUAUUUUCUCAUUGCAAUGGAUGACGUUCAUAUCAUUUAAUGAGCAUGUGCUGUGUGCCAAAAACUGCUCGAUGCUGGAAUGCAGCCCUACCUGCGGAGCUCCCAGGCACUUGGGAAGACUGGUUGAUUGGAUGAUGAAUCCUGGUUGUAGUCCCUGUGAUGAACACCUCUGCUGUCAGACAUCACUGGCUGCCUUCUGUGUGCUCAACUUAGAACCGAGCCCAUUCUUCAGCGGCCGGAGGAUAUCCUGUGGAGCAGUGCAGCGCCCGGCCUCCCAUCCUGUGUGAACUGCAAGGCAGCGGCUGUGGCCCUGAGGCCCUCUUCUCUCCCAGGCCAGGCUGCGCCUCCUGCUCACAGUUCUACUUUUCCUAAGCCAAACUGGAGGCCAGGGCACCGAGAACGUCGAGAUGGCAUAUUUCCAGAGUGUGGAGGAGACAGACUGUACCGCAGGAGCCUGGAGCCAGGCCCCAAAGGUUCUGCUGGCUGUCCCAGGGGCCUGCCCUUACGACAGCCCACCCGGGACAUCUCGGAGCUUGUAUCUCUGCUCAUCAGAAGUUGGAGGAGUGGGUUCGAGGGGGCAGCUGUUUCCUAUAAAAAUGUCCAGUAGAGGUAAUGUCCUUGGGACAAACUCUUUUUUUUUCUAUACUGGGGAUGGAACAUACAGCCUUCACUCUGAACUGUAUCCUCAGCUCCCUUUAAAAAAAAAAAUUAUUUUGAGAAAGGGUUUUGAUAAGUGCUAAAUUGCCCAGGGUGGGCUCCAACUUGCAGUGCUGGCCUCCCAAAGUACAGGGAUUACUGCUGGACACGAUGCCCGGUUGGUCAUCCUUUUUUUUGGGGGGGAGGGUACCGGGGAUUGUACUCCAGACCUUGUGCUUUCGAGGCAGGCGCCGGAACCACUGAGCUAAAUCCCCGGCCCUGGUUGGUCAUCCUUUUUGACACCCAAGCUAAGGAGGCUCAUUCUGUGCCUGAGGCUCCAGUGUCUCGCAUUCUGCCCGCUGGAAUACGGUCUCUCAGAGGGGCUGUGGAGCCUCGUGUGGUCGACUCCAACCAAGGUGCAGGCAUUUGGGGAGCGUCGUCCCCAGGUAAUUCCUGUGUGUCCAUUUCCUGUUACUGAGACAAAUUACUAUAAACUUGGUGUCUUAGAAAAACACACAUCUAUUUUCUUAAAGUUCUGAGGGCCAGAAAUCCAAAAUAAGUCUCAGUGGGCUAAACUCAAGGUGUCAGCGGGAAUGUGUUAAUCUCCACCGAGGCUCUGUGCCUGUCCCAGGGUCAAGAGGCUCCACGCGUUCUGCCCUGUGGCUCCUUCCUCUGACUUCAAGUCCAGCAGUGGCUGGUCAGGACUUCCACAUAAUGCCAUCUCUCAGAUUCUACCUCUCCUGCCUCCCUCUUCCCUGUUUAAGGAGCCCAGUGAUUACAUUGGGCCCCCCAGACAAUUUCUCUGUUUCCCACUUCCAGCAACCUUAAUUCUCCAUUGCCACGUAUCAUGGCGCAUCCACAGGUCCCACCCACUUGGACGUGGACAUCUUUAUUCCACCAUGGACCGUUAUUUUGCACACCCAGCCAACCUCUCCUGUGGCUUUUCCAAGGGUCUCAUCCUCAGGCAUAGACAGUGGGCUGGGCCAGACCAGUCGGGAUGUGCCCACCACUGGCAGAGAGGUCCUUUCUGCCCAGACACCCUCCCUGCUUUAGCUCACCUCCUCUUCUCUCAUCCUCUGCUCCCCCUCUGGCGUAGAGGGAAGCUGGUGAGGCUAGAUGCGCCGCGGGAGCCCAGGGAGCUGAGCCCUCCCCGGCCAGACAGCCUGUCUUCCAGGGGCUGGAGCCAGAGCCCAGCCUUUGCGGUCGCGGACUCACAGUCUGAGGGCAGUUGCAGGGUCGGAGGGGCAGGCAGGCACAUAUCGGAGACACACGUAUCCCCUGUGCCUCUCGGCCUCCCUUCCUCAGGUGACAACAGCCUGUCUACCCUCCGGCACUCGGUGGUCCUUUUUGGGGCUGGGACCUUGAGAGGCUCCCAAGGAGGGGAGGCCCCCAUCAAAUCUGUCCCUGGGUACUGGUGAGGACCUGGGGGAUCCAGGACCCCAGCAAGAGGUCUCAUCAGCACAGCAGAGCAAAGCAGGAGGAGCUGGACAGGGCCUUCGGUCUUCAAGUAUGGUGACCAGUUGGGCUUGGUUUGCCUAAGACUUUCCCACUUUGAGCAGUGGGGGUCCAAGCCCUGGAACUCGGUCAGAGCAAACCGAGACAGCUGGUCACCCUGUCUCCAGGGCCUUUAUCACAUUCUCUUCCGCUCUGGGUCAUCUCCGCUGCUACACAGCCAGCUCUUUGGACUCCUGGAUACUAGAAAGACCUGGGGGCUGAGGAAGGACCCCAGGCCCACGCCAGAAAGGAGCAGGCUCUUGCCCCAGCAAGCCCGGCAGAGGAGCCAUCAACAGUGAAGACCAAGCUGGUGUCUGCGGGGCACAGAGCUCCCAGGAGCAGUGUGCGUAAGACGGUGAAAAGGAAACCUCUAAACACUUAGCAGCCUGGUCACUUCUGAGUGGUGGAUUGCAGGUGGCUUUCAUAAAUACUUUGAGUUCCCCCUCUGUAUUUCUUCCUCUCUGUACAAGUAAGCCAUGUUCUUUCUGUAUGUUUUUAAUAAAAGAAAGCCAGUGGUGACUCAGCCAUCCAUCUCCAGUCCUGCUGAGGGACACGAGCAGUUGUGCUGGCACCUGUGACCUUGGCUGUGGGCUGGUCAUGGCCCCAUUCUGCCCGAAGCUCUACUGCAAGGGCAGGGAAGCUACUCCUCCGUGUCCUUCGGCCCCACAGUGCACCCAGGGUCCAGCCUGGCUUGUUCCCUGAGUGAAGACUCAAAAGCCUGAUGUGCUCUCUCUUGGCAGAGCAGGGGUGCAGGUGCUGAGGACACACAGGAUGUGGCUGGCCAUUGGGAGAUGCUCUUGAGCACCACUCUGGACUGAGAAUGAUGGGGAGAGGAGCUCUUGCCUCCAGGCAGCUGGCACCUGGUUGGAGAGCUCGGGUUACCCCACAGACCAUGUGGCGCAUGGUGGACUGGAUGAGGCCUUGCCUGUGAGGAUUGUCCGAGGUCGCAUAGGGGAGACCCAGGAGCCUCACUGCACUUGUCUUAGAAUGGCCAGAGGCCAAAACAGGUUUUCUUGAGUGACCUGAGGCAGCCCCCCAAGCUCGGGGUAAAUGGUCUCCCCCUCCCAGAACUCGCUGCUGGACACUUUGUGACAGAAGAGUGGCAAGAACAGUCAGCAAGAUGUUCCACUCUUAGACAGCUGGGCACCCUUGGGCCCUCCUCCUUGCCCUCUCCCCUCGUAUUCUUUGGGAGUGCCAGGCUCUAGACUUCCUCUGGCUGCCUCCGUCUGGUCUCCUGAUACCAAGCAGUUCUCUCCACCCCAAGCCCAGCAAGAGCACUUGGAAGGGAGCCCUGGGUCUCCAGUAGAGGCAGCCACCCCUCCACCUCCUACAUACAGGGCCAGCAUUCCCCACCCUAGUCCACCCUAGUCCACCAUUGUCCUGGUGAGGCCAACAUGUGACCUUGUUCAUUGUUUUGGAAAAGUAGUAAGUGUUCUGGCCUAAUGAUCCCUCCCUAUUGAACCCAGAACCCAAGCACAACUCCAUGUUCACACAACUCCCUUGACCCAGGAAGUCAGCUUUCUCAGAGAAGCCUGGCAUGUGCUUCCCCCUCCUUGCCACACCCUCGCCCCUAAGCCAAGAUCCUGCUCUAUCCCUUCUCCCUAAGCAAAGCUGCAGCUGAGUGUUUUUACUACUUUCUUUUUUUUUUUUGGUGCUGGGGAUCGAACUUGGGUCCUUGCGCUUGCACAGCAAGUGGCAAAACCACUGAGUUAAAUCCCCAGCCCCUAAACUGAGUGUUUUUAAGUGCUAGGGAAGACCUUGCUAGUCCUGCCUCAAUUCUGGGCAGAUUUGGGAAUCUGAACGUGUGAGGGAAAAGUGAUAGCAGAAUUGGACACUCCCCACAUCCAUGUGGUUUUUAAGGGAAAGAGGACAGUAGGAACGGAGACAGGGAUUCAGGCCAGUUCAGGAUUCGGCCACACAAAGUAGUGAGGGCCCCAACCUGGCGACCUCUUGGCUGGCUAUGGAGGCUGGGCAGGCCUCCCCUGAAGGGAAGGUAGUAGUGAGCUCUGGUGUCUACCUGGUGUGGCAACUAGCAUCUGCCUUGGGUGCUGCAGUUUCUCAGGAAUUAGACCCACUAGAGGCACAGGGCCUGAGCCCGGCCCAAGGCUAGGAGUUAGGAUGCACCUCUGAGUGGUCCAGACCUCUGAGGGACCCCAGAGGCCAAAACCGUCUGGCCUAGGGCAGAAGAGCUGGCUUCGCAGACAGAAUUGUGUCUAAAAAGUCCCCUUUGACCCCUAGAGCUGAGACCUACCAGGCCAGAGUCCCCUAGAGAAAACGGACUGUGUAGCUAAGCUGCUCCCUGCUCUGAGGCCAAGUAUCAAGCCUGUCAGGUCACAGCCCUGGCCUUGGCCUUCAGAACUGCAUGCAGGUGGCCUCCCGGGUAGAGGUGGGGAAUCACUUCUCUUGGGGCCCAAGCCAAACUCCACCACACUGGGGCCCUGGGGCCUGUGGCGGCAGAGCCAUAUUGUCUGAAGUACCAGGAGGGGCCAGGGGCGCUGAUGCCAAGGCGACACAGCAGCUGAACCUUUGCUGUCUUCCGUCAAGGUCUCCAGAUGCCUUCUUGUCAUAGGUUCCUAGUGCCCUGUCCCUUGCCGGCACUCCCCAAAUUCCCCCCCAGGCUUCAGUUUCUUCCUUUGUAGGCAGCCUGAUCUUGUAGAACCCACCUGUGUUCUGGGCAUGGACAGGUGUGGGUUGGAAUCCAGCUGAGUCACCCGUCGUGGGCAAGCCCCUUGUGCGUGCUGAGCAUGGUUUCCUGGUCUGUGAAUGAGGCUGGGGGUGGGGAGCUGUGCCUGAGUGACAGUGCAAAGGGGAGCUUGGCACAGUCCCUGGUCCCAAGGGAACACUCGGGUCUGUUUCAUUAUCCAAGCAGAUCUGAGGUCUGCUCUAGUUCUGCUCCUUUCCAAGCUGCAGACUGCACUGAGCCCGCAGAAGUGGGGGCUUCUUCUGCAACUGCCCCCCCACCACCAGAAAAGCAGCAGAAAUGGACCUUUGGGAGCCGCCUGGAGCCAGGAAAACCACAGCCAGCCAGCUAGGUCUUCCUCAGACUCGACCCCACAAGGGAGCUCUGGCCGGCGAAGCCGCCUUCCACCCUGCCACGUACCUUCACCUCUGGAAAAGGAGCACACCAGCGCCCCAGGCUCUGGUUUCUGUAAGAGCUGGUGAAAGUGGGGAGAGACCAGUGCUGAGUUCAGAUGGAUUUUACACAUCUUCCGUGUGGAGAGUGAGUGGUUGCCUCAGUUAAGACACAGCAUCACGUAGGUCAGACGAAAGUUCCUUGUUGGAUGCUUCAGCAGGGCUGUGUGGAGGAAACUCCGACCCCAUGCAAGAGUGGAGUUUUGGGUCUGGGCCAACAGUGAGAAAGACGGCCCACUGGUCGCAGAGAAUGACAACUUGGGCAUGACCCAGCUCCAUGGACUAGGUGGCAUCACUCCCAGAGAAAAGGGCUCCACCUGCAACCAAGCUCAAGGCUUUUCCCAGGAUUUCAGCUGGGCCCUGGGCAGACCCCACUGGAGGCUUCCAGAGACCGGGAGCAAGCUCUUAUGUGUGGAGGCAGGGUGACCACAACACCCUAUACACGUGCAUGGAGAGAUGCUGAAAGCUGAUACUCUAAGAAGGGAUGAUUUUCACAUUAGCCUUCAGCUUUCAUCCUACUGCAAGUAGCUGAAUAAAUAAACCAACCCGAUUAAAGUAACACCUUUGGAAUAAAACAAGGAAACUCCUCUGGCUGAUGAGAAAUGCCCUCCAGUGUCUGUAAACUUGGUUCAUCAUGGGUGUGCCUGAGACUAGCUGGUGUACCUGAAAUCCCCCUUUGAUACUUUACCCCAUUGCAAAGUGGCCCUCAAUGACCAUAAUGUCACAGUAAUCCCAACAAAGCUCAUCUUUCAAUGACCUCCUAGCUCCUUCAACCAAGAACUUCCAUUCUGAGUGCUUAGAUUGAAAAUCUUGGGAAUUACCUACCCUUAGGAAGCACUGACAAGUCCUGAAUGAUCUUAAACUUUUAGGCCCAAAUUUGGUUCAGAUUAUACUGAGGCUGAUCCUUUCCAGACUCUGUUUGCUAAUGAGAUAGUCCCAGCUGCCAUCACCUUUAGGUCUGACUUCUAGGCCUGGGCCGAGGUUCACAGUGAGAUGUGAUGCGACAGCUCCCUAUCCUGUUAGGUCGGUCCCUAUCACACAUGCUCUUCCCUGGAGCCCAGCUGCCUUGCAAUUUUGGGUGCAGAGUUUUAGGUUCCUUCUCUGGACAUUCCAAU
rnacentral:lncRNA from 1 species